GACGAACGCUGGCGGCGUGCUUAACACAUGCAAGUCGAACGAAGUGGCGAACGGGUGAGUAACGCGUAAUCAACCUGCCCUUCAGAGGGGGACAACAGGUGGAAACGACUGCUAAUACCGCAUACUGAAGGAGGGGAUUGCGUGUGCUGAGCUAGUUGGGGGGGUAACGGCCCACCAAGGCGACGAUCAGUAGGCGGGCUGAGAGGGUGAACGGCACCCUCGGGACUUGGACACGGCCCAAACCCCUACGGGAGGCAGGAGUGGGGAAUCUUCGGCAAUUGACGGAAGUCUUACGGCACAACGCCGCCUGAGUUAUGACGGCCUUCGGGUUGUAAAGCUCUGUUAAUCGGGACGCGGUACCGGAAUAGAAAGCCACGGCUAACUACGUGCCAGCAGCCGCGGUAAUUC
rnacentral:rRNA from 1 species